rnacentral:rRNA from 1 species
UACAUGUGGGGCAAGCGUUGUUCGGAAUUACUGGGCAUAAAGGGUGCGUAGGUGGCUUGUUAAGUCAGGGGUGAAAGUUUUCGGCCCAACCGGAAAAUGGCCUUUGAUACUGGCGAGCUCGAGUGCGUGAGGGGUAACCGGAACGAGCAGUGUAGCGGUGAAAUGCGUAGAUAUUGCUCGGAAGGCCAACGGCGAAGGCAGGUUACUGGUGCGCAACUGACACUGAGGCACGAAAGCGUGGGAGCAAACAGGG